rnacentral:rRNA from 1 species
UACGGAGGAUGCAAGCGUUAUCCGGAAUGAUUGGGCGUAAAGCGUCCGCAGGUGGCUGUGUAAGUCUGCUGUUAAAGAGUGAGGCUCAACCUCAAAUCUGCAUUGGAAACUAGGAGACUUGAGUAUAGUAGGGGUAGAGGGAAUUUCCAGUGGAGCGGUGAAAUGCGUAGAUAUUGGAAAGAACACCUAUUGCGAAGGCAGCUAACUAAGCUUAAACUGACGCUGAGGCACGAAAGUGUGGGGAUCAAACAGG